AAAGGGAAGGGAUCCCGCAAGGGAAGCCGGCACAGGUGGUGCAUGGCUGUCGUCAGCUCGUGUCGUGAGAUGUUGGGUUAAGUCCCGCAACGAGCGCAACCCUCACCCUCUGUUGCCAGCGGGUUAUGCCGGGCACUCUGAGGGAACUGCCCCGGUCAACGGGGAGGAAGGCGGGGACGACGUCAAGUCAUCAUGCCCCUUACGCCCUGGGCUACACACGUGCUACAAUGGCCGGCACAGAGGGCUGCAAACCCGCGAGGGGGAGCUAAUCCCACAAAGCCGGUCUAAGUUCGGAUUGCAGGCUGCAACUCGCCUGCAUGAAGUUGGAAUCGCUAGUAAUCGCGCAUCAGCACGGCGCGGUGAAUACGUUCCCGGGCCUUGUACACACCGCCCGUCACACCACGAAAGUCGG
rnacentral:rRNA from 1 species